AUUGAACGCUGGCGGCAGGCUUAACACAUGCAAGUCGAGCGAGCGGGGGGCGGGUGAGUUAUGUCGGGGACAGUGCGUGCUGGAGGGGGAACACUACUGGAAACGGUAGCUAAUACCGCAUACCCUCAGAUGUGCCCAGAUGGGAAUAGCUAGUAGGUGGGGUAAUGGCUCAUCUAGGCGAAGAUCCCUAGCUGGUCUGAGAGGAUGAACAGCCACACUGGAACUGAGACACGGUCCAGACUCCUACGGGGGGCAGCAGUGGGGAAUAUUGCACAAUGGGCGCAAGCCUGAUGCAGCCAUGCCGCGGGUGUGAAGAAGGCCUUCGGGUUGUAAAGCACUUUCAGCGAGGAGGCGUUACUCGCAGAAGAAGCACCGGCUAACUCCGGGCCAGCAGCCGCGGUAAUUC
rnacentral:rRNA from 1 species